rnacentral:rRNA from 1 species
UACGUAGGGAGCAAGCGUUGUCCGGAAUCAUUGGGCGUAAAGCGCGCGUAGGUGGCUUCGUAAGUCCGUUGUGAAAGUCAAAGGCUCAACCUUUGAAAGCCGAUGGAUACUGCGGAGCUAGAGUACGGAAGAGGCGAGUGGAAUUCCUGGUGUAGCGGUGGAAUGCGCAGAUAUCAGGAGGAACACCUGUGGUGUAGACAGCUUACUGGACCACUUCUGACGCUGAGACACGAAAGCGUGGGUAGCAAACAGG